AUUGAACGCUGGCGGCAUGCUUUACACAUGCAAGUCGAACGGUAACAGGCCGCAAGGUGCUGACGAGUGGCGAACGGGUGAGUAAUGCAUCGGAACGUGCCCAGUCGUGGGGGAUAACGCAGCGAAAGCUGCGCUAAUACCGCAUACGAUCUAUGGAUGAAAGCGGGGGACCGUAAGGCCUCGCGCGAUUGGAGCGGCCGAUGUCAGAUUAGGUAGUUGGUGGGGUAAAGGCUCACCAAGCCAACGAUCUGUAGCUGGUCUGAGAGGACGACCAGCCAAGCUGGGACUGAGACGCGGGCCAGACUCCUACGGGAGGCAGCAGUGGGGAAGUUUGGACAAUGGGCGCAAGCCUGAUCCAGCAAUGCCGCGUGCAGGAAGAAGGCCUUCGGGUUGUAAACUGCUUUUGUACGGAACGAAAAGGCUCUGGAUAAUACCUGGGGCUCAUGACGGUACCGUAAGAAUAAGCACCGGCUAACUACGUGCCAGCAGCCGCCGCGGUAA
rnacentral:rRNA from 1 species